AGAAUGCUGGCCGGCAGGUCCUUAACACAUGCAAAGUCGAAACGGUAAACAGGGAAAGCAGCUUGCUUCUUGCUGACGAGUGGCGGACGGGUGAGUAAUGUCUGGGAAACUGCCUGAUGGAGGGGGAUAACUACUGGAAACGGUAGCUAAUACCGCAUAACGUCGCAAGACCAAAGAGGGGGACCUUCGGGCCUCUUGCCAUCGGAUGUGCCCAGAUGGGAUUAGCUAGUAGGUGGGGUAACGGCUCACCUAGGCGACGAUCCCUAGCUGGUCUGAGAGGAUGACCAGCCACACUGGAACUGAGACACGGUCCAGACUCCUACGGGAGGCAGCAGUGGGGAAUAUUGCACAAUGGGCGCAAGCCUGAUGCAGCCAUGCCGCGUGUAUGAAGAAGGCCUUCGGGUUGUAAAGUACUUUCAGCGGGGAGGAAGGGAGUAAAGUUAAUACCUUUACUCAUUGACGUUACCCGCAGAAGAAGCACCGGCUAACUCCGUGCCAGCAGCCGCGGUAAUACGGAGGGUGCAAGCGUUAAUCGGAAUUACUGGGCGUAAAGCGCACGCAGGCGGUUUGUUAAGUCAGAUGUGAAAUCCCCGGGCUCAACCUGGGAACUGCAUCUGAUACUGGCAAGCUUGAGUCUCGUAGAGGGGGGUAGAAUUCCAGGUGUAGCGGUGAAAUGCGUAGAGAUCUGGAGGAAUACCGGUGGCGAAGGCGGCCCCCGCGACGAAGACUGACGCUCAGGUGCGAAAGCGUGGGGAGCAAACAGGUAUUAGAUACCCUGGUAGUCCACGCCGUAAACGAUGUCGACUUGGAGGUUGUGCCCUUGAGGCGUGGCUUCCGGAGCUAACGCGUUAAGUCGACCGCCUGGGGAGAACGCCCACAAGGGAAAAACUCAAAUGAAUUGACGGGGGCCCGCACAAGCGGUGGAGCAUGUGGUUUAAUUCGAUGCAACGCGAAGAACCUUACCUGGUCUUGACAUCCACGGAAGUUUUCAGAGAUGAGAAUGUGCCUUCGGGAACCGUGAGACAGGUGCUGCAUGGCUGUCGUCAGCUCGUGUUGUGAAAUGUUGGGUUAAGUCCCGCAACGAGCGCAACCCUUAUCCUUUGUUGCCAGCGGUCCGGCCGGGAACUCAAAGGAGACUGCCAGUGAUAAACUGGAGGAAGGUGGGGAUGACGUCAAGUCAUCAUGGCCCUUACGACCAGGGCUACACACGUGCUACAAUGGCGCAUACAAAGAGAAGCGACCUCGCGAGAGCAAGCGGACCUCAUAAAGUGCGUCGUAGUCCGGAUUGGAGUCUGCAACUCGACUCCAUGAAGUCGGAAUCGCUAGUAAUCGUGGAUCAGAAUGCCACGGUGAAUACGUUCCCGGGUCUUGUACACACCGCCCGUCACACCAUGGGGAGUGGGUUGCAAAAGAAGUAGGUAGCUUUAACCUUCGGGGAGGGCGCUUACCACUUUGUGAUUCAUGACUGGGGUGAAGUCGUAACAAGGUAACCGUAGGGGGAACCUGCGGCUGGAAUCUCCCCCCCUCCCC
rnacentral:rRNA from 1 species